rnacentral:rRNA from 1 species
AUGUAUUACUAUGGGAUCGAUUUUCAUGAUCUAUCCCCCAAUUCCUUCCUCAACAUCUUGACGUUCAUCGUCGUGUGCGAGGCCUUUCUCCGCAUCUCGCCACACUUCGGCUUAUGGCUGAAGAUCUUUAAUGUGAAGCCCAAGGUAGUGGGCAGUGAGCACGCGGAUUGCGGAGACGUUGAUACGUCUCCAACGUAUCUAUCUUUUUUGAUUAUUCCAUGCUAUUAUAUUAUCAACCUUGGAUGUUUUAUAUGCAUUUAUAUGCUAUUUUAUAUGAUUUUAGGGACUAACCUAUUAACCUAG